rnacentral:rRNA from 1 species
AACGAACGCUGGCGGCAGGCUUAACACAUGCAAGUCGAACGCCCCGCCAGGGGAGUGGCAGACGGGUGAGUAACGCGUGGGAAUCUACCCAUCCCUACGGAACAACUCCGGGAAACUGGAGCUAAUACCGUAUACGCCCUUCGGGGGAAAGAUUUAUCGGGGAUGGAGGAGCCCGCGUUGGAUGAGCUAGUUGGAGGGGUAAAGGCCUACCAAGGCGACGAUCCAUAGCUGGUCUGAGAGGAUGAUCAGCCACAUUGGGACUGAGACACGGCCCAAAAUCGUACGGGAUGCAGCGGUGGGUAAUAUUGGACAAGGGGGGCAAGCCUGGUCCAGCCAUGCCGCGGGAGAGAUGAAGGGCUUAGGGUUGUAAAGCUCUUUCACAGAUGAAGAUAAUGACGGUAGUCGGAGAAGAAGCCCCGGCUAACUUCGUGCCAGCCGCCGCCGUAACAC